GUUCAUGAUUUGGCCAGAUAUAUUAUGUCAGCUAUUUUUUCAGGUCAAUGUAUAAACUAGUGAGCCACGUUUACAUUUCUUUUUUAAUGGAAGGGAUAUCUUGCUAAACAAUUUCUUGCCUCUUUCUGUACUUAAAAUCCAUGUGGGGUUAUGAUAUAUGUAAAUGCAUACACUGCAUGAUAAAAUGUACAUAAUAUCUGGAAUGGGUGCUGCUGGGGACAUCAGGUACAUUAUACUGCCUACAGUAAUGAGAAAGCCUAGUGGGGUGACGCCACAAGGGAGGUCUUCCAAAAGUAAUCAUUUCCAGGAUUGGGCCGUUCCAGGGCUCAGUUUGUAUGGCAAAUAUGUUAUAUUAUUUAGAAUAUAGAUGUUUUGCUAAUAACCUUGUGAGCCUUCAAAUACUUAUGGCUGGCUUGGCAUCAGUUGGGCAAAGUAAAGAACAUUUUUAUACCCCUGCCCAUAAUCUUGUUUCCUAUUAGUAUCUUCAUUGUAAAAUUCCUGUGGCCCUGCCAGUAGCCUGUCCAUUGAGUGGGGAAUGGUUUCUUCCUGCAGAGUUGUGUGUGAUUCUUUGUUGGACUGUUACAAGCAAAGUCUCUUUCCAUUAUAACUCUCUUGUACAGUUAUAAUGGCGUUUAAUUUAUACAAAAACUGUGAUGUUAAAGUAAUUAAAACAGACAGAUGUUAUGCACAGUGUAACUGCUCUUCUGUUUUGUUAGAUGAACGGAUCAGAACAGCAGGAAGUGAUGUCUUCUCUUUACUGAUGCCCCGUACGCUGACCAACUUGCUGUUUAAGCAAAUUACAUUUUCAAGCUUGCCCAAUCAAAAAACAAACUGAUAUGCGUAGUUAGAUAUUGAUCUAGAUCAUCAGGCCACUACAAGCAUAUCAAAAAUUGCAAAAAUAGUUUGAUAGAAUCCUCUUGUUCAGCUUCUGUGAGGACAAUGGAACUAGUGGUAACACAACCUCUGCUAUAGAACCAAUAGGCUAGGUUAUGGACCUCUGUUCCACAGACAAGGCAUUAUGCUGCAAAUCUACGUACUAUUCAAACUUACUACUUUUUAAACUUGAUUGUAUCUGUAAUGGCUAUAAUGAGGGACUAAGACACCUCCAACUGUGUGAAAGAAUUGUUCUAUAGGCAAAUAACAUAUUCUGUAAUGUAAAUUCUAAGCUAAUUCAAGCUCCCGUGGCAAUGUAGGGGACAUAUGUAUGAAACGUCUGGUUCGCUUUUAUAUAACAAAUGCCGUUUAAAUUACUUUUGCAUAAUCUUGCUAUCCUAACCCUCUAAAUAAAACCCAGUGCUCUGGGAAACCAUGAGCAAAGAUGACGUGUAGCAGAUGUAUCCCGAUACACUUAGUAAAAUGUAUGUCUUAUGACUGGGUUCAUUGGCCAAUGGGGCUGGAUUGGAUAAUGCCUCUAUAUUAACAUGAGAACAACACUGCAAACCAUGAAACUAGAGUUUUUACUAAACUGUUGUAUUAAUAACAAAUAAAAUUUUAGAAAGUCAA